rnacentral:rRNA from 1 species
GACGAACGCUGGCGGCGUGCUUAACACAUGCAAGUCGAACGGAAAGGCCCUGCUUGCAGGGUACUCGAGUGCGAACGGGUGAGUAACACGUGGGUGAUCUGCCCUGCACUUCGGGAUAAGCCUGGGAAACUGGGUCUAAUACCGGAUAGGAGCCAUUUUUAGUGUGAUGGUUGGAAAGUUUUUUCGGUGUAGGAUGAGCUCGCGGCCUAUCAGCUUGUUGGUGGGGUAAUGGCCUACCAAGGCGGCGACGGGUAGCCGGCCUGAGAGGGUGGACGGCCACAUUGGGACUGAGAAACGGCCCAGACUCCUACGGGAGGCAGCAGUGGGGAAUAUUGCACAAUGGGCGCAAGCCUGAUGCAGCGACGCCGCGUGGGGGAUGACGGCCUUCGGGUUGUAAACUCCUUUCGCUAGGGACGAAGCUUUUUGUGACGGUACCUAGAUAAGAAGCACCGGCUAACUACGUG